rnacentral:rRNA from 1 species
UACGGAGGGUGCAAACGUUGCUCGGAAUCAUUGGGCGUAAAGCGCACGUAGGUGGCCUUCUAAGUCGGGUGUGAAAUCCCUCGGCUCAACCGAGGAAGUGCACUCGAGACUGAAAGGCUUGAAUAUGGAAGAGGGUCGCGGAAUUCCCGGUGUAGAGGUGAAAUUCGUAGAUAUCGGGAGGAACACCAGUGGCGAAGGCGGCGACCUGGGCCAAUAUUGACGCUGAGGUGCGAAAGCGUGGGGAGCAAACAGG